AUCCAGCUGACGAGUCCCAAACAGGACGAAACGCCUGUCAAGCUAGAU
rfam:Schistosoma curassoni strain Dakar, Senegal genome assembly, scaffold: SCTD_contig0000099